rnacentral:rRNA from 1 species
CCUACGGGUGGCAGCAGUGGGGAAUAUUGCACAAUGGGGGAAACCCUGAUGCAGCGACGCCGCGUGAGUGAAGAAGUAAUACGGUAUGUUAAGCCUUAUCAGCCGGGAAGCAAAUGACGGUACCUGAGUAAGAAGCCCCGGCUAACUACGUGCCAGCAGCCGCGGUAAUAAGUAGGCGGCCAGCGUUAUCCGGAUUUACUGGGUGUUAAGGGAGCGUAGGCGGCAGUGCAAGUCUGGAGUGAAAGGCGGGGGCUCAACCCCCGGACUGCUCUGGAAACUGUACGGCUGGAGUGCAGGAGAGGUAAGUGGAAUGCCUAGUGUAGCGGUGAAAUGCGUAGAUAUUAGGAGGAACACCAGUGGCGAAGGCAGCAUACUGGACUGUAACUGACGUUGAGGCUCGAAAGCGUGGGGAGCGAACAGGAUUAGAUACCCUGGUAGUC